UCCCGUGUGGCUCAGUUGGUAGAGCAUGGUGUUUGCAGCGCCAGGGUUGUGGGUGCGAUUCCCACAGGGGAC
rfam:Salmo salar isolate Sally breed double haploid chromosome ssa15, whole genome shotgun sequence.